CGCCGCCCGCCCAGGCCUCUUUCCGGCUGGGCUAAAGGCCGGGGGGAAGCGCUCUGGACGGAGCGAAACGUUGCGGAGGGAGCCUGCGGGCCGCUGGACCUGCUGCAGACUUAGGAGAUGCCUGAGACAAGGAGACCAUUUUCUCAGGGCAAAAAGAAAAGGAGGUGACAGGCGCUGAGACCACUGAAGGAAUCCCAUGGCUAGGCAGACGCAACUGUAGUCUCUGGCACGUAACCCCAGGGUGAUGGAGUGAGUGCUUGCUGAGAUCUGAAAAGUGCUAAAAUGUAAUGUGCUUUCAGAUUUCCAUUUGAGUGAGGCUACGUGCUUUUUGAGGAGGU
rnacentral:lncRNA from 1 species